rnacentral:rRNA from 1 species
UAUACCUACGGGGCGCAGCAGUGAGGAAUAUUGGUCAAUGGCCGAGAGGCUGAACCAGCCAAGUCGCGUGAGGGAAGACGGCCCUACGGGUUGUAAACCUCUUUUGUCGGGGAGCAAAGCGAACCACGUGUGGUUCAUUGAGAGUACCCGAAGAAAAAGCAUCGGCUAACUCCGUGCCAGCAGCCGCGGUAAUACGGAGGAUGCGAGCGUUAUCCGGAUUUAUUGGGUUUAAAGGGUGCGUAGGCGGAUUUUUAAGUCAGCGGUAAAAUGUCCGGGCUCAACCCGGGCCGGCCGUUGAAACUGGG